UAGGAGGGUAGUUGAUUUGGGAGAAACUUGUAAGGAGUUGAGCUCUACAGCGGGGUAAAAUCCAAACUCAAAACUACAAACAAAUAAAAAUUUUAAACCCCUCAGUAAGACAAGGAUUAGAUACCCUUUUAUUUAGGGCGACUUAAGGUAGUAGUUGCUAUGGUCUUGAAACCUAAAGGGCUUGGCGGUGCUUAACCCAAUCAGAGGAACCUGCUUGAUAAACGAUGCCCCUCGCUAUAUCUUACCUUUUUGAGGCUUGUAUACCGUUGUCUAAAUACCUUAGGUAAAAGGUCAUUUAUCCCUAAUAUUUUAGAAUCCUAAGUCAGAUCCAGGUGCAGCUUUAACAGGGCAAGGUGGGUUACAAUAUAGUUAAUUUUAGAGGUCUUUUGAAAAAGGAUUUAAAUCGGAUUUGAAAGUAAUUGGAUUUUAAUAAGAUACAAUGAUUAAAGCCUUAAGCACGUACAUAUUGCCCGUCGCUCUCCCUACGAGAA
rnacentral:rRNA from 1 species